UUCUCUAUUAACUACGGCCUGCUCAAUCGACCUGAAUUUCAUUGUUUUUUUGAUUCUGAGAAAACGCAAAAUGUCGCCACUUUGGCGCCACUUACCCGUUAACCGUCAAUUAAUUUUAGACCAUCAACUGUCAGUUUAUAGGUUAACAAGAAUUAGGAAACACUGGAAAUUUUCAUUUAAAUUUAUAAUAGAUGAAACCAUUAAGCUACAUGUGUACUUCAGAGGGCGUUUGCGAGAAAUAAUUCCAAAAUCAGCCCGUAAAGCCAUGGUUGGGCCUGCCCUCAACGUGGGUAAGGGUAUCGUUUUUACCUAGUUUUUCCGAGUUUGUGAGCGACUCCCACAAUACGAACGCAUUUCGAAAUGCGACAAUGAUCUCCGAUAAGUAUGUUUUACGUGUAUUUUUUUCGUAAUAAUUCAAUUCAUUGUAAUAAUAGACCUCUGAAAUUUGAAAUGACAACUUAUGAUUAAAGAUGGUAUAAAAUCAAAAUCAGAACUCUCGUGAGAGUUGCGCUCCAAUGGACACGUACCCUUAUUUCUAGAGAGACAGAAUGUGGUGAAUAGAAUCAAGACGUUAACAUUUACUUUUCCUAAUUCGGAAAAUUAUUUAAAAAGAAAAUGGUUGGCCGCACUAAAGAGAAUGAUUUUUGAAACUUCUGCUAACCAAAGCCGAAGCAGACAUUGAAACAAGCUAUUUUCAUGAGAGGUCUGGACAGCUUCUUUAGUUCAUCCACAAUCGAAGCAGGGUGAAAAUAGCUGUUACAUACAGAAUCAGUUUAUAGAAGCGAAACUACUAAAUUUGGUUUGGCAAAAUUUGUACACGGAAACUACCAUAAAUAACGUGGGAAUAGCAUCACGUUUCAGCAAUUUUCUUCCUGAUUCAGAUGCUUUAAAACAUGAUUUCAGGAAAUGUAAACUGCAAACAACCGUUUUGUCCGAUAAUCUUGGGCACUCAUCUACAAUUUUUCGUAUUCAGAAGUGUCUUUUUUAAUAAAAUAUGUCAAACUUUAUGCAAACAAAAAUAGGUACUUAAUAAAAAUAUUUAUUGAAGAUUUACCGGUAUUAGGAUAUAUUUUUCCCAACCAUACUUGUCUUAGCUUAAAAUUAGAGGGAAACUCAUGAAAGGAUCUUGAAGGAUCUGUGGAGAAACACGACGGAACACAACAAAACGAAUAAGGCAUUUUAAAAUGCGAGACACAACACAAAGCACUAAAACAAACGUAAACAAAAACAAAACGAACUGGCGAUUGUAAAUCUCGGAUCUAUUUAAGCCACAAAUAAACUAAAACAGGUUAGACACAAGAGACACGUUGAGGAAUGACAAAUACUCCUGUCACAAUUUUUGAAAAUUAUCUAGUAGUAGGCAGGUGUCUUUUUUGGCGUUUAACGGGUAAGUGGCUCUACGCGGAG